rnacentral:rRNA from 1 species
GAUGAACGCUGGCGGCGUGCCUAAUACAUGCAAGUCGAGCGAACGGACGAGAAGCUUGCUUCUCUGAUGUUAGCGGCGGACGGGUGAGUAACACGUGGAUAACCUACCUAUAAGACUGGGAUAACUUCGGGAAACCGGAGCUAAUACCGGAUAAUAUUUUGAACCGCAUGGUUCAAAAGUGAAAGACGGUCUUGCUGUCACUUAUAGAUGGAUCCGCGCUGCAUUAGCUAGUUGGUAAGGUAACGGCUUACCAAGGCAACGAUGCAUAGCCGACCUGAGAGGGUGAUCGGCCACACUGGAACUGAGACACGGUCCAGACUCCUACGGGAGGCAGCAGUAGGGAAUCUUCCAAAUGGGCGAAAGCCUGACGGAGCAACGCCGCGUGAGUGAUGAAGGUCUUCGGAUCGUAAAACUCUGUUAUUAGGGAAGAACAUAUGUGUAAGUAACUGUGCACAUCUUGACGGUACCUAAUCAGAAAGCCACGGCUAACUACGUG